rnacentral:rRNA from 1 species
GACGAGCUCUCCAAACGUUAUUCGGUAUUACUGGGCUUAAAGAGUUCGUAGGCGGCUUUGUAGGUGGGGUGUGAAAGCCCUCGGCUUAACCGAGGAACUGCGCCCCAAACCACAGGGCUUGAGGGAGAUAGGGGUAAGCGGAACAGAUGGUGGAGCGGUGAAAUGCAUUGAUAUUAUCUGGAACACCGGUGGCGAAGGCGGCUUACUGGAUCUUUUCUGACGCUGAGGAACGAAAGCUAGGGUAGCGAACGGG